AGUGAACGCUGGCGGUAGGCCUAACACAUGCAAGUCGAACGGCAGCACAGGAGAGCUUGCUCCCUGGGUGGCGAGUGGCGGACGGGUGAGGAAUACAUCGGAAUCUACUUUUUCGUGGGGGAUAACGUAGGGAAACUUACGCUAAUACCGCAUACGACCUACGGGUGAAAGCAGGGGAUCUUCGGACCUUGCGCGAUUGAAUGAGCCGAUGUCGGAUUAGCUAGUUGGCGGGGUAAAGGCCCACCAAGGCGACGAGCCGUAGCAGGUCUGAGAGGAUGAUCAGCCACACUGGCAGUGAGACACGGUCCAGACUCCUACGGGAGUCAUCAGUGGGGGAUAUUGGACAAUGGGCGCAGGCCUGAUCCAGCCAUACCGCGUGAGUGAAGAAGGCCUUCGGGUUGUAAAGCCCUUUUGUUGGGAAAGAAAUCCAGCUGGUUAAUACCCGGUUGGGAUGACGGUACCCAAAGAAUAAGCACCGGCUAACUUCGUGCCAGCCGCCGCGGUAA
rnacentral:rRNA from 1 species